rnacentral:rRNA from 1 species
UACAGGGGGGCAAGCGUUGUUCGGAAUUACUGGGCGUAAAGGGUUCGUAGGUGGCCAACUAAGUCAGACGUGAAAUCCCUCAGCUUAACUGGGGAACUGCGUCUGAUACUGGAUGGCUUGAGUGUAGGAGAGGAAUGCGGAAUUCCAGGUGUAGCGGUGAAAUGCGUAGAUAUCUGGAGGAACACCGGUGGCGAAGGCGGCAUUCUGGACUACAACUGACACUGAGGAACGAAAGCCAGGGAGCAAACGGG